UAACCUGCGGAAGGAUCAUUACCGAGUU
rnacentral:rRNA from 1 species